UUAUUUCAGACUAACAGUUCAGAUACUAUAAUGCACGCCAGAUAGUAACUCUGUAGCCCAAGCACUGCAUAUGAGCCCUUAUAAAACAUAUUUCACACCAAUUUUUAAUUUAAACAUUCUAAAUUUUGUAUACACAUAAAAAAUAUUUGUCAACAUCUAGAAAAAAAAUGUAAAUCAUACAUUCAAAGAUUUUCUUUAAAGAAAUUUAAAAAAAUCCCUUUUUUUAAGCGCUCUAUUGCCUGUCGCUUUCUUCAUCCCAUGCGCUCGUGUACUACACCUCCCACCGCACGCCGCCACACCAAUCCCUUCCAUGCCGAGCUGCAUCGCGACAGAAUAGUUUCGACGUGCGCCCAAAAUGAAUAACAAAGAAACCCUGGAGAGUGAGACGGAGAAAUUGGCGGCUCUCCUCGAACAGAGCGAUUUGACAACCGAGAAGCAGCAGCACGCGGUGGCAGAGCAGGCCACAAAAAAAACCAAAAAGAACUCCAAACAGAACCAAAAGAACUGACGGGAAAACCGUGCAGUCAGGGACGACGUGGUGGUAAUGGGAAACAAAAACCAAAUUGCCGGUGGAGCCGCAAGCAGCGGCAGGCGGCCAAUGGUGGACAGCAGGCCCCGUAUCGUGGCCGCGGAGGGCAAAACCGCCGUCCCAAUGCUCGAAAUGCACCACCAGCAGCAGCAACAGAAGGGGCAGACCGCGCAUUGUGCAUUAUGAUGGAGGCAAUUCUGGA